rnacentral:sRNA from 12 species
GAUCAUUGACAUACUGACAAGGCUAAAAAAACAAAGAGAUAACUAACGUAGAGAGGCUACAAGCCCUCUACAAGUGACUAACAAUACAGCUUGCAAGUCUAGACCUAUCGUGCUAGAUGAUGAACCAGCAAAAGCGGUGAAGCCCUCGCAGGGUGAUGAACGCAGAGGCUGGCAACCUCGCCCCUCGCAAAGGGCUUGCAAGCAC